AAGUCGUAACAAGGUUUCAUCCUUCUGAAUUUACGGAGACCUUGACCCCUAAGUCAUGCUUGCAUGGCUGCACUACCACGGUGCUGGGAGGCUACCACUAGCAACCAGCAGCUCCAGCGAUGGAGUCCACAGAUCAAAUGGUAGUGGCCCCGCGCUCCGCGGGGUUAUAAUAUGACCGAAAUCUCCCUGAGAAGGGUGCUAGCUACUGUCCGUAGGUGAACCUGCGGAAGGAUCAUUAAUAAAAGUACUGCGGCCUCCGGGCUGCGGAACUCCAACCCUUUGUUUACUAUACCUCGUUGCUUCGGCAGGCCGGGCCUUAUGGUCCGCCGGCUCCCUGAGCUGGCGAGCGCCUGUCAGAGGACCUACAAAAUCUGUGUUAGUGUUGUCUGAGUAUCAUUUAAUAAUUAAAACUUUCAACAACGGAUCUCUUGGUUCUG
rnacentral:misc_RNA from 1 species